AUGACUUCACCAACUGCCACCACGACGCGCAGCGCUGACCACAUGUCUCGCAUGACUGCUGGUCUUGGUUCCAUCGACCAGUUCAAGCUUGGCAGCGGAGCAGCUCCUGCUGCAGCUCGGAGGUGCUCCGGCUCCAUCUGCAUCUCAACGACCCGGCAGCUCGGAGGAGCUACGCCUCCACCUGCAUCUCCAGCGGCCCAGCAACUCCCACUGCAGCUUGGAGCCGUGGAAUCGGCAGAUGGCACCACCCUUGCUUGUAUCCGCGACCCACUUGUUAUAAGGAGCAUUCUCAGUGAUAUUGGCGGUCCGAAUUCAAUACUCCUAGGAAAGGUAAUUACUAUUGCUUCCUCCACAGGUCCGAAUUCAGUACUGAAGAAUCUGCUAAGGUGGCAUCUGUCCAGGCUGUGCCGGCACUCCCUGAAGCUUGUGACUUUCCACAACAAGGGAGGCUCCAACAAGACCGUGGUGGCUGCCAUUGUUGCACAGCCAAGUCUCGAGGGCGGUGUUGAUACUUAG
rnacentral:rRNA from 1 species